rnacentral:lncRNA from 1 species
CGCUUUCCGCCGGCGACGACGGUCGCGGACACGGAGUGAGCGUGUGCGCGCGAGUGUUUGUGGUUGUCCCCCCUCCCCCCGCCCGGUACUUUUUCCGGAGGCUGCUGGCAAUGGCCUACGUCGUCAUACCGGGCUUCCUUGCCCUGUCCGGGGUAAACAAUCCUUCUGUGUAUUUACCCCCUUUUUUCUUUAAAGAUUGGA